CACAAGAGAACCGUUACAAUAAGAGAACAUAAGAUAACACCACCAUGUUUUCCAUCUGCAGUCUUCUUGGUGAUGGCUGCCCAAGUCAGAUCACACUCCUUUUAUAAUACCUUUAUUUAACUAGGCAAAUCAGUUAAGAACAAAUUCUUAUUUUCAAUGACGGCCUAGGAACAGUGGGUUAACUGCCUGUUCAGGGGCAGAACGACAGAUGUGUACCUUGUCAGCUCGGGGAUUUGAACUUGCAACCUUCCGGUUACUAGUUCAACGCUCUAACCACUAGGCUACCCUGCCGCCCCUCCAUUCUAACCACUAGACUACCCUUUCGCCCCUCCACUCUAACCACUAGGCUACCCUGCCACCCCUCCACUCUAACCACUAGGCUACCUGCCGCCCCUCCACUCUAACCACUAGGCCACCCUGCCGCCCCUCCACUCUAACCACUAGUCUACCCUGCCACCCCUCCACUCUAACCAUUAGUCUACCCUGCCGCCCCUCCAAUCUAACCACUAGUCUACCCUGCCGUCCCUCCACUCCAACCACUAGGCUACCCUGCCGCCCCUCCACUCUAACCACUAGUCUACCCUGCCGCCACUCCACUCUAACCACUAGUCUACCCUGCCGCCCCUCCACUCCAACCACUAGGCUACCCUGCCGCCCCUCCACUCUAACCACUAGUCUACCCUGCCGCCACUCCACUCUAACCACUAGUCUACCCUGCCGCCACUCCACUCUAACCACUAGUCUACCCUGCCGCCACUCCACUCUAACCACUAGUCUACCCUGCCGCCACUCCACUCUAACCACUAGUCUACCCUGCCGCCGAUCCACUCUAACCACUAGUCUACCCUGCCGCCCCUCCACUCUAACCACUAGUCUACCCUGCCGCCGAUCCACUCAAACCACUAGUCUACCCUGCCGCCGAUCCACUCUAACCACUAGUCUACCUGCCUCCCCUCCACUCUAACCACCAGUCUACCCUGCCGCCCCUCCACUCUAACCACUAGGCUACCCUGCCGUCCCUCCACUCUAACCACUAGGCUACCCUGCCGUCCCUCCACUCUAACCACUAGUCUACCCUGCCGCCGAUCCACUCUAACCACUAGUCUACCCUGCCG
ensembl:lncRNA